CACCCUGCAGCCCCUGAGGACCCCCGGUGCCUUGGGGUCCAUGGAGCCGCCCGCCCCCGCGGCCUGGCCUCGCCGCUGCUCCUCCUGCUGCUGCCCCUGUUGCCCGCGCUGCUGGCGGCUGCCUGGUGCCUGCGGCGGCUGCGAGCAACUCCCGCCCUGCGGAGCCGGUGCACCCCGUUUCCAGCCCCCGGGAGCAGCUGGUGUAGCCUGGACUCACCUGGGUGGGGACCGGGGACUUGAACCUGAAUCUUUGCACAUGGUAAUGUGUACAUUUAACCGGGUGAACCACCACACGGCCCCAGGGACCUCUUGUUUUUAAGCCCAAAGUUCACGUCACUCUUCCAUCUCUACCCACUCAACUCUCUCCUGGCUUUCUGAACAAGACUUCUUAAAAACUGAAAUAGCGGGGGCCAGGCGGUAUUGCAGUGGGUUGAGCUCACAUGCUGUAAAGCGCAAGGACCGGCAUAAGGAUCCCAGUUCAAGCCUCCGGCUCCCCACCUGCAGGGGAGUCACUUCACAAGCGGUGAAGCAGGUCUGCAGGUGUCUGUCUUUCCCUCUCCUUCUCUAUCUACCCUUCC